UCAAGCUACAUAGGGCACAUGAAGGAUGCCUUGGCAUCAGCAGGCGAAGAAGGACGUGGCAAGCUGCGAUAAGCCUCGGGGAGCUGCAUACAAGCUUUAAUCCGGGGAUUUCCGAAUGGAGCAAUCCAGCAGAAGUAAUGUUCUGUUAUCUGCAACUGAAUACAUAGGUUGCAGAGGCGAUACUCAGUGAAGUGAAACAUCUCAGUAACUGAAGGAAUAGAAAUCAACCGAGAUUCCGCAAGUAGUGGCGAACGAACGCGGAAUAGCCUAAACCGGCAGGUUUACCUGUCGGGGUUGCGGGACUUAGAUAUGACAUGCGGCCGGUUAGCACAACCGUCUGGGAAGUCGGGCCAUAGAGGGUGACAGCCCCCUGUGCGAAAACUGAAAGCAGUCUAUAAGUAUCCCAAGUAGGUCGGCACACGUGAAACUCCGACUGAAUCCGGGGAGACCACUCUCCAAGGCUAAAUACUAGCUGAUGACCGAUAGUGAAACAGUACCGCGAGGGAAAGGUGAAAAAGUACCCCUUUUAGGGGAGUGAAAAGUAUCUGAAAUCAUGUGCCUGCAAAGUGUGGGAGCCCUUCUGGGGUGACCGCAUGCCUUUUGCAUAAUGAGCUUGCGACUUACUUUAAGCAGCCAGGUUAAGCCAUAGGCGGAGCCGAAGCGAAAGCGAGUGUUAAUAGCGCGUCAAGUUGCUUGAAGUAGACCCGAAGCUGAGUGAUCUAUCCAUGGUCAGGUUGAACCUCCGGUAACACGGAGUGGAGGACCGAACCGGUGAGCGUUGAAAAGCUUUCGGAUGAACUGUGGAUAGGAGCGAAAGACCAAUCAAACUCAGUGAUAGCUGGUUCUCUUCGAAAUAUCUUGAGGGAUAGCCUUACGCCAUUGACUUACGGGGGUAGAGCACUGAUUGUCCGCGGGUCCUUACCGGGAUACCAACGACUGUCAAACUUCGAAUACCGUUAAGUUUUACCGUAGGAGUCAGACUGUGGGGGAUAAGCUUCAUAGUCGAGAGGGAAACAACCCAGAUCGCCGUCUAAGGUCCCUAAUUUAAGCUAAGUGGUUUGAAGGAUGUGAAGUUGCGUAAACAACCAGGAUGUUGGCUUAGAGGCAGCCAUCAUUUAAAGAUCGCGUAAUAGCGCACUGGUCGAGUGAUUUUGCGCCGAAGAUGAUCGGGACUAAGCUUAAAACCGAAGACGCGGAUGUACAGCAAUGUACGUGGUAGAAGAGCGUUGUAUGAGGAGCGAAGCGUGAAUGAGAAUGAGCGUGGACUUCAUACAAGUGACCAUGCAAGCAUGAGUAGCGAAAAACCGGAUGGAAAUUCCGGUCACCGUAAGACCAAGGUUUCCCGGGGAAGGUUCGUCCGCCCGGGGUUAGCCGGAUCCUAAGGCCAGGCCGAAAGGCGUAGUCGAUGGACAACGGGUUAAUAUUCCCGUGCCGCCUUAACGGAGUGACGGAGUGACGCAGUAUGCUAAGCGAGCUGGCUAUAUGCCAGUCUAAUGUCGUAGGACGUCAGGGGUUAAAUGACCUGACAUCAAGUCUGAAAACGGAUGGGACUCGAAGCCUUCGGGUAACGGGGAUUCGCUGAUGCUUUGCUGACGAGAAAAGCUCCUAAACGUUGAUGUUUUGGCGUCCGUACCGUAAACCGACACAGGUGGUCGAGGCGAGUAGCCUAAGGUGCGCGAGUGAAACCACUUCAAGGAACUCGGCAAAUUAGCCCCGUAACUUUGGGAGAAGGGGUGCCGAACGGGUGCAUAGCCCGGACGGUUUCAACAAAGAGGCCGCGGCGACUGUUUAACAAAAACAUAGCUCUCUGCUAACUCGCAAGAGGAUGUAUAGGGAGUGACACGUGACCAAUGCCGAAAGGUCAAUCGGAUCCGUUAGCAGCAAUGCGAAGCGGUGAUGUGAAGCCCCGGUGAAUGUCGGCCGUAACUAUAACGGUCCUAAGGUAGCGAAAUUCCUUGUCGGGUAAGUUCCGACCUGCACGAAUCGUGUAACGAUCGCGGCACUGUCUCGAAGUGGAGCUCGGCGAAGUUGUAAUUCCGGUGAAAAUGCCGGAUACCUGCAGUAGGACGGAAAGACCCUGUGAACCUUUACUGUAAUCUGAUAUUGGCAUUCGGGUGUUAAUGUGUAGGAUAGGUGGGAGACUGUGAAGCAGACGCGCUAGCCUCUGUGGAGUCAACGGUGAAAUACCACCCUUUAUAACUUGAAUGUCUAACCUCAGCCCGUGAAUCCGGGCGGGAGACAGUGUCAGAGGGUCAGUUUGACUGGGGCGGUUUCCUCCAAAAUUGUAACGGAGGAGCACGAAGGUACACUCAGAGCGGUUGGCAAUCGUUCGAAGAGCGUAAGGGUAUAAGUGUGCUUAACUGCGAGACAGACACGUCGAGCAGAUACGAAAGUAGGUCCUAGUGAUCCAGCGAUAGAACGUGGAAUCGUCGUUGCUCAACGGACAAAAGGUACUCCGGGGAUAACAGGCUGAUAGCGUCCAAGCGUCCAUAGCGACGACGCUGUUUGGCACCUCGAUGUCGGCUCAUCUCAUCCUGGGGCUGUAGAAGGUCCCAAGGGUCCGGCUGUUCGCCGGUUAAAGAGGUACGCGAGCUGGGUUCAGAACGUCGCAAGACAGUUCGGUCCUUAUCCACUGUGGGCGCAGGACAUUUGACAAGAUCAUUCCUUAGUACGAGAGGACCGGGAAUGACUGACCUCUGGUAUUCCAAUUGUGUGUAAACACGCAGCGUUGGGUAGCUAUGUCGGGAAAGGAUAAGCGCUGAAAGCAUCUAAGCGCCAAGCCCCCUUGAAGACUAGAUGUCCCUGAAUAGUAAUAUUCCUGAAGGCGGGUCGUAGACCACGACCUCGAUAGGCCGGAUGUGUAAGAACAGCAAUGUUUUCAGCUUACCGGUACUAAUCCGCCGUGAGGCUUGACCAC
rnacentral:rRNA from 2 species